GGAACUGAAAGUCAUUUUUGUGCAUCAAACAUGAAAACAGUGAUUUAAUAACAGACAAUUGUUUGUGAUGUUGGAUGAUAUAAAUACUACAUGCCUUCCCCACAGUCGGCCUCGAAAAGCUUUUGGCUUAGUGAGACUAAACUGAGAGAGUCUACUUCCGUAAGAAUGGAACACGAGAAUAGCAACGGUACCAUCACAAAAUUUAUAAAAAGUAAUACGACAUCAAAGCCAACUUUAUCUGUAAAAAAUUCAUCAAAGUUGCAAGUAAAGAAAGUCAUAGUGAUAAAAAACAAUGCUUUUUUCAAAUUGAAAUAGAAGAAUCAAGUAUCGGGAUAUAUGUUAAACUAGUGUACGUUCCGAUGAGAAGCUGCAUGAAAAUGCUUGACACAUGAGAUGACUGUGUGAACAGUAAUUGUUAGUCUACUCGUCAACAUUAUACAGCAUAAAAUAGUAUAUUUAUUAAUUUAUUUUUCAAGCAUGAUUUUUUUUAUUGAUACAAUGACAGGUAUUCUGCACAGAAUUCAAAAACAGUCUGUGAAAACUUUUACGCUCGAGAAAAUUUUGCCUACAAUUACUUUCUUUUUAUCUUUGUCAAAAAGCUUGACUCUUUAUUAAACUGGAGUUGUGGUAAAAAUUUGAACUUUCACGAAAGCCUAUUCCGCAAAUUAGAAACUGUUGUUGAUAGGACAGGGUUACGAUAAGCUGUGUCCUGUGAUAUUUUUAAACUGCCGUGUUACGAAAAAGUUAUUUUUUAACCACAAUUCGGGUGUGUCCUAUACCGGUACUAUAAAGCGCCCCACCUGCAUUCGAACACUCCACAGAACGUUCAACGCCAGGUCAUUCAUCUAGUCUGUUAUAUGAAUACACCAUUUUCAUCCUCCUGUCAGUAAUAUUAUGGUAAGAGCAAAAGAUAUAACAGGGCCAUUUAUUUAACACAUGACAUUUUUGGUACUUUUGUGUAAGUUCAGAGGCAAGAAACAAAUUUAAGACUUAAUUCAUACCCUAAAAAACCGUAUAAUAAUAUCCGUAAUACAUAAAAAACUCUUUCUACCGAGAAACGGGUGCAAUUUUUACUUAAUUUUCAAUUCUACAGUGCAAGCUUAUUUUUUUCUGGGAUUGAAAUAGCGUGCAAAAUGCUUAUACAGUUGCCGCUCGAUAAGUAAAACUGUCAAGGCACCGAAAGAAACUUUUUCCACAAAAAAAUAAUUUCGUCAAAAAAAAGUAGUUUUAAAUUAGAAACCCUAAAAAAUAUAGGUGCCAAAGGUUCCAGAAGGGGUAGGAUAAGACAUAGCGAGUUUAAUUUAGGAGAUGCACUUUUAUACAGUCACUCAGAACGAAACUUAGCUGUGAUGUUUCUCCACGCAUGUGAUACACAUGUAAAAACACACGUUCGAUCGUUGGAAUUUCUUCUUGGAUUCUGCCCACUACCCCAGGGUUUACGGAGCCCGCUAAUUCCCAGACAGAUUGGUGCAAUUUGUGAGCGCCCUGAGGUAGUAAAAAAUUGGAUUGAUCUGCCCCUGACUUCAAUAAACGGACGUUUGUGUAAAUUUUGUUUAUUUUUAAACAAUUUGACUAUUUUCUCUAUAUUUUUGAUCGAUUAUAUUACUCCGCAUUAAGCAUAAGUCACUAUUCUGAUUUAUUGUCCCCGCAAAAGGUAGCGAAAUUAGGCCCAUAAUCAAGCAUUGUCCAUUUAAUUUUCUUAUAGCCAGUUUUACCACUGUGUUUCUUCUGUAUUUUGAUUUUUGAUAGUGUCCAGUUCGCUUCCGCUUCUGUUACCUGUUAAUAAGGACGGAAAUAAAUUCAACUGUC